rnacentral:rRNA from 1 species
UACGUAGGUGGCAAGCGUUGUCCGGAAUUAUUGGGCGUAAAGCGCGCGCAGGCGGCCUUUUAAGUCUGAUGUGAAAGCCCACGGCUCGACCGUGGAAGGUCAUUGGAAACUGAAAGGCUUGAGUACAGAAGAGGAAAGCGGAAUUCCACGUGUAGCGGUGAAAUGCGUAGAGAUGUGGAGGAACACCAGUGGCGAAGGCGGCUUUCUGGUCUGUAACUGACGCUGAGGCGCGAAAGCGUGGGGAGCAAACAGG